UCAAUCUGUGCAAAGGAGAGCAUGCUCACGGAGUCUCUAGGUUAUCGGGGCGAUGGAGGUUCUCUCGAAGAUCCUCUCAGGCCGGCCGUUUCUCUUCAGGCGGCGCCGUGGGCAGCCCGCGGGCCUUGUAAGAGCGCGCAGCCCCUCCCUCUUCCUUUCCGCCGGGGCAGCCAUCUUCCAGUAACUCGCCAAAAUGACGAACACAAAAGGAAAGAGGAGGGGUACUCGGUAUAUGUUCUCUAGACCUUUUAGGAAACAUGGAGUCGUUCCUUUGGCCACAUACAUGCGAAUCUACAAGAAGGGUGAUAUUGUAGACAUCAAGGGAAUGGGCACUGUUCAAAAAGGAAUGCCCCAUAAGUGUUACCAUGGCAAAACCGGAAGAGUCUACAAUGUCACCCAGCAUGCCGUGGGCAUCAUUGUGAACAAGCAAGUUAAAGGCAAGAUUCUGGCCAAGAGGAUCAAUGUGCGGAUUGAGCACAUCAAGCACUCAAAGAGCAGAGACAGCUUCCUGAAGCGGGUGAAGGAGAACGAUCAGAAGAAAAAGGAAGCCAAAGAGAAGGGCACCUGGGUUCAGCUGAAGCGCCAGCCUGCGCCACCCAGAGAAGCCCACUUUGUGAGGACUAACGGAAAGGAGCCUGAGCUGCUGGAGCCCAUUCCAUACGAAUUCAUGGCCUAAUGUAUACAAAGGAAAUAAAGAACCUGAACUGCAAAGUCUUCUCCUUAGGUUGAAGUGUGGUGUCUUCUCCCUGAAAGAAAAUGUUAAAGCAAAUUUUCAUUGUCUUUGCUGUUCAGAUUUUACUAAUUGUUCUUCUAAAUGAUACUGCUUAGUGUGCAGAAAGUAUACUCUUGAAUAGAAAGUAGUCUAGAAUAUUUACAGAAUAUGUACCCUAGUUCUGAAUCACCAGGGGAAAGCUGAGAGAAAUUAGUUUGUGGCCAGGCAUGGUGGCGCAGCUCUAAACUAGCACCUGGAGGCCGAGGCAGGCGGCUCUAGCCCUGCAGGACUUGCAUAGUAGCAUG
rnacentral:lncRNA from 1 species